GACGAACGCUGGCGGCGUGCUUAACACAUGCAAGUCACGGGGGCCCGCAAGGGUAACCGGCGAACGGGUGCGUAACACGUGAACAACCUGCCCUCGUGUGGGGGAUAGCCAUGCUAACGCGUGGGUAAUACCGCAUACGUUCCCCUGGAGGAGUCCCUGGGGGAGGAAAGCUCCGGCGCACGGGGAGGGGUUCGCGGCCUAUCAGCUAGUUGGCGGGGUAAUGGCCCACCAAGGCGACGACGGGUAGCUGGUCGAGAGGAUGGCCAGCCACAUUGGGACUGAGAGACGGCCCAGACUCCUACGGGAGGCAGCAGUGGGGAAUCUUGCGCAAUGGCCGAAAGGCUGACGCAGCGACGCCGCGUGUGGGAUGAAGCAUUUCGGUGUGUAAACCACUGUUGCCCGGGACGAACAGCCUUUUCGAGAGGUCUGACGGUACCGGGUGAGGAGCACCGGCUAACUCCGU
rnacentral:rRNA from 1 species